AUGAGAUUCACUUUUGUGCUUGCGGGGUGGCCUGGAUCGGUCCAUGAUAUGAGGCCAUUCAAGGAUGCUCUUAGCCGGUUUGAUCACAAGUUUCCACAUCCACCUUCAGGGAAAUUUUAUCUUGUUGACUCGGGCUACCCCAACAAACAGGGUUAUCUUGCACCGUAUAGGGGCCAAAAGUAUCAUUUUCAAGAGUUCCAUCAAGGCACCAUGCCGAGAGGUAAAAAGGAGUACUUCAAUUAUACUCAUUCUAGACUACGCAAUGUCAUUGAGCGUUGUUUUGGAGUCUUGAAAAAUAAGUGGAGGAUUCUUUUCAAAGUACCAAGUUAUCCUCUACGCAAGCAAACAAAAAUUAUUGUGGCAUGCAUGCCUUGCACAAUUUUAUUCGUGAAAAUCAUUUGGCGGACAAGGAAUUUGAUAGGUGUGACAAUGAUGAGAGUUAUCAACCUCUCCUUGAGGAAACAAGGAGGAGGCGUCGUAACACUAGGGGUGAAGAAAUGGAGCUAG
rnacentral:rRNA from 1 species